GAUGAACGCUGGCGGCGUGCCUAAUACAUGCAAGUCGAGCGAACGGACGAGAAGCUUGCUCCUCUGAUGUUAGCGGCGGACGGGUGAGUAACACGUGGAUAACCUACCUAUAAGACUGGGAUAACUUCGGGAAACCGGAGCUAAUACCGGAUAAUAUUUUGAACCGCAUGGUUCAAAAGUGAAAGACGGUUUUGCUGUCACUUAUAGAUGGAUCCGCGCUGCAUUAGCUAGUUGGUAAGGUAACGGCUUACCAAGGCAACGAUGCAUAGCCGACCUGAGGGGGUGAUCGGCCACACUGGAACUGAGACACGGUCCAGACUCCUACGGGGGGCAGCAGUAGGGAAUCUUCCGCAAUGGGCGAAAGCCUGACGGAGCAACGCCGCGUGAGUGAUGAAGGUCUUCGGAUCGUAAAACUCUGUUAUUAGGGAAAAACAUAUGUGUAAGUAACUGUGCACAUCUUGACGGUACCUAAUCAGAAAGCCGCGGCUAACUGCG
rnacentral:rRNA from 1 species